rnacentral:lncRNA from 1 species
UCGAGGUCUUCCAGGACCCCCAGGGCCCUUUGGGCCAAAAGGAGAUGGUUAUCCUGGCCCACCUGGCUUGCCAGGCCUUCCUGGGAUUCCUGGUGAACUGGGCCCAGAUGGAGUUGGACUACCAGGACCUAAGGGUGAUCCCGGUAGUAGAGGACCAAUUGGUCUCCCAGGUCCCCCAGGAGAAGGCCUGCCAGGACCAAAAGUAAGCCAUUUAAAUAAUUAUGUCUCCCAUUGCCUAAUUUCUAAAAAAGAAAAAAAAAAGUAUAGUAUAUUAUAGUAUAG